CGUCUGUCGGUCGGAACGUCUGUCGGUGUGUGUGUCCCGGUCGGAUCGUCUGUCGGUGUGUGUGUCCCGGUCGGAUCGUCUGUCGGUGUGUGUGUUGGGGGAUCUGUAGGGAGUUGGAAAGGGCAGGGGGCACGCCACAGCAACGUGCUCUCCUGAUUGGUUGAGCUGUAGAGUGGGGGCGGAGUGAGAGAAUAGGAAGUAGGCGGAGCCUAGCAGGGAGCCAGAGGCGAGGAGGAGGAGGAAGCGCCGCAGGUGGCGACGGACAUGCACCGCUAACGACAUCACUACCUGGAGGGUCGCGAUGUAUACAUGUGUAUGUCAGGGUGUGUGUGUCGAUGGGUGUGUGUGUGUGUCAAGGUGUGUGUGUGUGUGUGUGUGUGUGUGUGUGUGUGUGUGUGUGUGUGUGUGUGUGUGUGUGUGUGUGUGUGUAUGUCAAGGUGUGUGUGUGUCAGGGUGUGUGUGUGUGUAUGUCAAGGUGUAUGUGUGUCAGGGUGUGUGUGUGUGUGUGUGUGUGUGUCAGGGUCUGUCUGUGUCAGGGUGUGUGUGUGUCAAGGUGUGUGUGUGUCAAGGUGUGUGUGUGUCAGGGUGUGUGUGUGUCAAUGUGUGUGUGUGUCAGGGUGUGUGUGUGUGUCAGGGUGUGUGUGUGUGUAUGUCAGGGUGUAUGUGUGUCAGGGUGUGUAUGUGUGUGUCUCUAUGAAGGGUUUCUAACAUGGAUGUGGUGGGGAACACUAAGGUCUGUCAUGUCACCAUGGUGAGGGUCACAGAGGGUCAGGAAGGUCAGCCUGACAUAGUGGAACUCUCUCUACACCAAUCACAACGCAGGACACACGGGGGGAGGCGACGUUUUCAGGACAGCUCCUGGACCUGUAGAGCAAGGAGACAACAUGAGGUUAGACACACGGGGGGAGACGACAGGACAGCUCC
ensembl:lncRNA